GGUCGGGUGGCCGAGUGGCUAGGCAGAGGUCUGCAAAACCUUUUACAGCGGUUCGAAUCCGCUCCCGACCUCGA
rnacentral:tRNA from 2 species